GAUGAACGCUGGCGGCGUGCCUAAUACAUGCAAGUCGAGCGAACAGACGAGGAGCUUGCUCCUCUGACGUUAGCGGCGGACGGGCGAGUAACACGUGGAUAACCUACCUAUAAGACUGGGAUAACUUCGGGAAACCGGAGCUAAUACCGGAUAAUAUAUUGAACCGCAUGGUUCAAUAGUGAAAGACGGUUUUGCUGUCACUUAUAGAUGGAUCCGCGCCGCAUUAGCUAGUUGGUAAGGUAACGGCUUACCAAGGCAACGAUGCGUAGCCGACCUGAGAGGGGGAUCGGCCACACUGGAACGGAGACACGGUCCAGACUCCUACGGGAGGCAGCAGUAGGGAAUCUUCCGCAAUGGGCGAAAGCCUGACGGAGCAACGCCGCGUGAGUGAUGAAGGUCUUCGGAUCGUAAAACUCUGUUAUUAGGGAAGAACAAAUGUGUAAGUAACUAUGCACGUCUUGACGGUACCUAAUCAGAAAGCCACGGCUAACUACGUG
rnacentral:rRNA from 1 species